rnacentral:tRNA from 3 species
GGCCGCGUGGCCCAAUGGCAAGGCGUCUGACUACGAAUCAGGAGAUUGUGGGUUCGAACCCCAUCGUGGUCA